GAUGAACACUGGCGGCGUGCCUAAUACAUGCAAGUCGAGCGAACAGACGAGGAGCUUGCUCCUCUGACGUUAGCGGCGGACGGGUGAGUAACACGUGGAUAACCUACCUAUAAGACUGGGAUAACUUCGGGAAACCGGAGCUAAUACCGGAUAAUAUAUUGAACCGCAUGGUUCAAUAGUGAAAGACGGUUUUGCUGUCACUUAUAGAUGGAUCCGCGCCGCAUUAGCUAGUUGGUAAGGUAACGGCUUACCAAGGCAACGAUGCGUAGCCGACCUGAGAGGGUGAUCGGCCACACUGGAACUGAGACACGGUCCAGACUCCUACGGGAGGCAGCAGUAGGGAAUCGUCCGCAAUGGGCGAAAGCUUGACGGAGCAACGCCGCGUGAGUGAUGAAGGUCUUCGGAUCGUAAAACUCUGUUAUUAGGGAAGAACAAAUGUGUAAGUAACUAUGCACGUCUUGACGGUACCUAAUCAGAAAGCCACGGCUAACUACGUG
rnacentral:rRNA from 1 species